CGUGGAAUUAGUCGAUAUAGACGGUGAAAUAAAAGAAAUUACCUCAGAAUGGCGUUCUGAGUAGGGUCUACGGAGAGAAAAAUAAUCAUUUAUUCAAUCAUUUUAAUUAGUUUGUUCGUUAUUAUCGCAGUAUUGUCAAGGUUGCAACUUUCUUGACGGGGGCGGGGGGGGAAGAGGCAAAAUGGCGCAUGCGCAGAGCGAGGCACUCGGCGCGCGGGAUUGAGACGCAGGAGCGGAUCCCGCCAAUCAAACGAGAUCUCGGCAAAUGAUUGGCCACAAGAGUUGGGUUCUUUUUCCCCUCCUAUCCGCGAGAGGAGGAGGCGGGGCGAAAGAGCCAAGCGGCUAUAAAAGGCGCGACCGUUACUUUUACCUCAGGAUGGGACUCAAAGCAGUCCCGAAACGGCCUUCGAAACAUGGAGUGUCUACAGACAAAUUUGUGAACAUCCCACAGCUUCUCCCCAACGACAUGAUGUCAACAGUCUCCCAAAGUGACCCAUUUAAAGUGGAAUCAGGUGUCAAACUGGGAUGUGUCAUUGCUCCAACCUUAUUCUCCAUCUUCAUCACUGAUACUUCAUUUUGUUGAUUUGAAGCUUCCCACCAGAGUGGAAGUUAUCCAUCGGACAGAUGGCAAGCUAUUUAACCUUAGCAGACUGAACCAAGGUCACCACAACAUCUGUUACAGAACUCUAAUAUGCCGAUGAUAAUGUAGUCUGUGCACAUUCAGAAGAAGGCCUACAAGCUGCUCUAAACACCUUCGCAGAAGCAUACGAGAAGUUCGGCCUCUCAAUGAACACCGAGAAAGCCAAAGCGCUCUUCCAGCAGGCACCAGCCAAUCCCUCUGCAAUGCCAGGAAUAUUUAUUUAUUUACAGUAUUUAUAUUCCGCCCUUCUCGCCCCGAAGGGGACUCAUUACACAUAUAAGGCAAACAUUCAAUGCUUUUAACAUAGAACAAAUACAAGACAAACAUAGGCUCCGAGCUCGCCUCGAACUCAACCUCUUGGUCAGAGUAAUUGGUUGCAGCUGGCUGGCUGCUCAUCAGCCUGCGCCACAGCCCGGGUCCGGAAUACAGCUUAAUGGUAUAACAUUUGAAAAUGUUAGCCAUUUCUGCUCCCUUGGCAGCCACUUCUCCACAAAAGUCAGCAUUGAGACUGAAAUACAAUACCACCUGAGCUCUGUGAGUGCAGCAUUUUUCCGAAUGAAGCAGAGAGUGUUUGAGGAUUGG
rnacentral:lncRNA from 11 species